UACGAAGGGGGCUAGCGUUGUUCGGAUUUACUGGGCGUAAAGCGCACGUAGGCGGAUCGUUAAGUCGGGGGUAAAAUCCUGGAGCUCAACUCCAGAACUGCCUUCGAUACUGGCGAUCUCGAGUCCGGAAGAGGUGAGUGGAACUCCUAGUGUAGAGGUGGAAUUCGUAGAUAUUAGGAAGAACACCGGUGGCGAAGGCGGUUCUCUGGGCCUUACCUGACGCUGAGGAGCGAAAGCGUGGGGAGCGAACAGG
rnacentral:rRNA from 1 species